rnacentral:rRNA from 1 species
CCUCGGGGUGCUCCAGUGAGGAAUAUUGCACAAUGGGGGGAACCCUGAUGCAGCAACGCCGCGUGGAGGAUGACGCAUUUCGGUGUGUAAACUCCUUUUAUAUGUCAAGAAAAUGACGGUAGCAUAUGAAUAAGCACCGGCUAACUCCGUGCCAGCAGCCGCGGUAAUACGGAGGGUGCAAGCGUUACUCGGAAUCACUGGGCGUAAAGGACGCGUAGGCGGGUUGGAAAGUCAGGUGUGAAAUCCUACAGCUUAACUGUAGAACUGCACUUGAAGCUUCUAAUCUAGAGUAUGGGAGGGGGAGAUGGAAUUAGUGGUGUAGGGGUAAAAUCCGUAGAUAUCACUAGGAAUACCUAAAGCGAAGGCGAUCUCCUGGAACAUUACUGACGCUAAGGCGUGAAAGCGUGGGGAGCAAACAGGAUUAGAUACCCCUGUAGUC